rnacentral:tRNA from 1 species
AGGGAUGUAGCUCAGUGGCACAGUGCCUGCCUGGCAAGUGUGAGGCCCUGAGUUCAAUUCCCAGUACCCCUC